GCCAGGCUGGCUUCGGGGCUCCCCGUGCCCGUCAGGCUGUGGGUGGUGUCGGUCCAGCUCCGGGGCUCCCCGUGCCCGUCGGGGUGCGGGCGGUGUCGGCUCCGGGGCUCCGCGUGCCCGUCGGGGUGCGGGCGGUGUCGGUCCGGCUCCGAGGCUCCCCGUGCCCGUCGGGGUGCGGGCGGUGUCAGUCCGGCUCCGGGGCUCCCCGUGCCCGUCGGGGUGCGGGCGGUGUCGAUCCGGCUCCGGGGCUCCCCGUGCCCGGUCGGGUGCGGGCGGUGUCAGUCCGGCUCCGGGGCUCCCCGUGCCCAUCGGGGUGCGGGCGGUGUCGGUCCGGCUCCAGGGCUCCCCGUGCCCGUCAGGGCGGCUUCCCAUGCCCGUCGGGGCGGCGCCAGUCCGGCUCCGGGCCUCCCCGUGCCUGUCGGGGCCGCGCC